AUCUACACUUGAAUUAUGAUUCUUAGUGCUCACUACCAAUGGACCAAUAAUGGUGUAGUUAGGGUUUAAAAAGCAGAGAUGCGACAUCUGUAAGAUGGUGAGCAAAAGAAAAUGAAUCCGAGCAUAACUUCUGGUAGGAUUAUCUUAAAGCAGCUGAUGUCAAAUUAAGAGGAGAAUCAUGGCGGGGUAUCGAGAUGUUCACAGCUGCAGUCAAUCUGAGAGGUGAAUGUUUCAGUUGCGGGUUUGUUGGUAACGGAGAUCGGCACAGCUACAUGAAGAGCUGGAGACACAUAUAACCAAUGGAAACGGAAAUCUAUGGCGUUAAUGCAUUUCCUUGGUGAUUUUACAAUAACAACAACAUCAACAGAUAGGUACCUCUGGAGACGGAAAAUAUGGUACGCCUAAUGUUUGAUCGAUUGGCUGAGAGAAGAAGUUGAGAUGCAGAUGAUGAGAAGAGACCAGGGAAGAAUUGGCAGUGACGGGUUCUAGUUGAAAUGAUUUUUUAUCAAAUGUAUACAGACAUUAGAGUUCGUCCACGACAAUGGUGCAGUCUGCGAAAACAAGAACUGAAUUGGAGAGUGUAAAUGUAUGUAUGACGAAUUUGUUAGCUUGGGUUGUGGUGAAUUUGUGUUGGGAGUUGACAGCAGCAAGGUUCUCAUCUAAAGCUAAAUUAGUGUUGCUCCAUGUAUUUGAGAUGAAGAUGGACGCAAGCUAUGGGAGUCACUGCAGUUAGUAGAUGGUGGAUAUGGAAUAGAACCGGUGGAGUUGAAGACAUGAUCUGCGGCUGGAUUAAACUGGAAAUUCUCGUUGAAGAAGAGCCAGGGACGGAGCUAAGUGCUUCCCUGGGGUGGCCUCCGCCUCCCCUAAAAAAUUCUAAAUCACUUGAACAUCCUUUAAGUUUAGCACUAUUUACAGAAAAAGAUUAUUAUCCCCCCCUGAUUAUUUUGUUUUCUUAGUUAGCCCACUUGUUUAGUAUUUCUAGCUCCGUCCCUGAAGAGCACUCAGCAGCAAAAAAGAAAUGAAGUUGUAGGUUGGCAGAAUCGUUGGAGCAGCUGCUCGUAACUGAAAUGGUGUGGGGUUUGGUCGAUGAUGGUUGUAUGGAGGUGACAGAAGAGAUGGUUUAGCUGUUGCCGGCGAAGAAGUAUAGAUGACCAUGACUUAAAAGUGCUGCCUUGAUCAUGGAUUUAAACUGAAGCACAAGGAGUUAUUGGCUUGAGUUGUUAAGAUUUUAUCACAACAGCAACAGCAGAUUUGGAUGAUUAAAAAGGUUUUGGAUUUCAGAGAAACAAGGACGGAAAAUGGGGUUGUUUUGCUAGUGAUGAUUAACUGGCAGAAAAGAUGGAUUAUGUAUUGGUUUUGUGUCAUCGUGUUGUGUACGAGAAGAUUAGGGAACUAGCUCGAUGCUGUUGUAGUUGGAAGUGAAUGAAAUGUAGAUGGCUAAAUGCAAAGAAUGGAAAUUGGUGCUGGUUUGGUUUGGUUAAGGUUCCACUGAUGACCAACGGUAACUGAACUUGACAUAAUUGGAAUUACUGUCACGUUGAAUCUAUCUUGGUGGUUUCUGGCGCUUGGGUUGUUUGUCUAUGUAAUUUUCGGUGGAUUCUGAAGCUGUGAUGUGACCAGAAUUUAUGCAGUCAGUGGUGGUGACGUUGUUAUGACUGCAUAACCUGUCAUGCAGUUGAGAAAAUGUCUGCAUAACAUCUUAUGCAGUCGUGAAAAUGGAUGCAUAACCUGUUAUGCGUC